rnacentral:rRNA from 1 species
AAAUUGAAGAGUUUGAUCAUGGCUCAGAUUGAACGCUGGCGGCAGGCCUAACACAUGCAAGUCGAACGGUAACAGGAAGCAGCUUGCUGCUUCGCUGACGAGUGGCGGACGGGUGAGUAAUGUCUGGGAAACUGCCUGAUGGAGGGGGAUAACUACUGGAAACGGUAGCUAAUACCGCAUAACGUCGCAAGACCAAAGAGGGGGACCUUCGGGCCUCUUGCCAUCGGAUGUGCCCAGAUGGGAUUAGCUUGUUGGUGGGGUAACGGCUCACCAAGGCGACGAUCCCUAGCUGGUCUGAGAGGAUGACCAGCCACACUGGAACUGAGGACACGUCCGUAUCUUACGGGAGUAAGGCAGUGGGAAUAUUGAAACAAUGGCGUGCCUCGAUGCGUUUCAUGCGCUGCGUAUGAAGAAGGCCUUCGGGUUGUAAAGUACUUUCAGCGGGGAGGAAGGGAGUAAAGUUAAUACCUUUACUCAUUGACGUUACCCGCAGAAGAAGCACCGGCUAACUCCGUGCCAGCAGCCGCGGUAAUACGGAGGGUGCAAGCGUUAAUCGGAAUUACUGGGCGUAAAGCGCACGCAGGCGGUUUGUUAAGUCAGAUGUGAAAUCCCCGGGCUCAACCUGGGAACUGCAUCUGAUACUGGCAAGCUUGAGUCUCGUAGAGGGGGGUAGAAUUCGAGUGUAGCGGUGAAAUGCGUAGAUCUGGAGGAAUACCGGUGGCGAAGGCGGCCCCCUGGACGAAGACUGACGCUCAGGUGCGAAAGCGUGGGGAGCAAACAGGAUUAGAUACCCUGGUAGUCCACGCCGUAAACGAUGUCGACUUGGAGGUUGUGCCCUUGAGGCGUGGCUUCCGGAGCUAACGCGUUAAGUCGACCGCCUGGGGAGUACGGCCGCAAGGUUAAAACUCAAAUGAAUUGACGGGGGCCCGCACAAGCGGUGGAGCAUGUGGUUUAAUUCGAUGCAACGCGAAGAACCUUACCUGGUCUUGACAUCCACGGAAGUUUUCAGAGAUGAGAAUGUGCCUUCGGGAACCGUGAGACAGGUGCUGCAUGGCUGUCGUCAGCUCGUGUUGUGAAAUGUUGGGUUAAGUCCCGCAACGAGCGCAACCCUUAUCCUUUGUUGCCAGCGGUCCGGCCGGGAACUCAAAGGAGACUGCCAGUGAUAAACUGGAGGAAGGUGGGGAUGACGUCAAGUCAUCAUGGCCCUUACGACCAGGGCUACACACGUGCUACAAUGGCGCAUACAAAGAGAAGCGACCUCGCGAGAGCAAGCGGACCUCAUAAAGUGCGUCGUAGUCCGGAUUGGAGUCUGCAACUCGACUCCAUGAAGUCGGAAUCGCUAGUAAUCGUGGAUCAGAAUGCCACGGUGAAUACGUUCCCGGGCCUUGUACACACCGCCCGUCACACCAUGGGAGUGGGUUGCAAAAGAAGUAGGUAGCUUAACCUUCGGGAGGGCGCUUACCACUUUGUGAUUCAUGACUGGGGUGAAGUCGUAACAAGGUAACCGUAGGGGAACCUGCGGUUGGAUCACCUCCUUACCUUAAAGAAGC